rnacentral:ncRNA from 1 species
UGAAGUCUUCAGGGCAGGGAUAGUUUCCCUACCGGUGGUAUAGCCCACGAGCCGCAAGGUAUGAUUCGGUGUAAUUCCGAGGCCGACAGUUAAAGUCUGGAUGAAAGAAGAUAAUA